GGUGGGGUUCCCGAGCGGCCAAAGGGAGCAGACUGUAAAUCUGCCGUCAUCGACUUCGAAGGUUCGAAUCCUUUCCCACCACCA
rnacentral:tRNA from 1 species